AGUGAACGCUGGCGGUAGGCCUAACACAUGCAAGUCGAACGGCAGCACAGUAAGAGCUUGCUCUUACGGGUGGCGAGUGGCGGACGGGUGAGGAAUACAUCGGAAUCUACUUUUUCGUGGGGGAUAACGUAGGGAAACUUACGCUAAUACCGCAUACGACCUACGGGUGAAAGCAGGGGAUCUUCGGACCUUGCGCGAUUGAAUGAGCCGAUGUCGGAUUAGCUAGUUGGCGGGGUAAAGGCCCACCAAGGCGACGAUCCGUAGCUGGUCUGAGAGGAUGAUCAGCUACACUGGAACUGAGACACGGUCCAGACUCCUACGGGAGGCAGCAGUGGGGAAUAUUGGACAAUGGGCGCAAGCCUGAUACAGCCAUACCGCGGGGGUGAAGAAGGCCUUCGGGUUGUAAAGCCAUUUUGUUGGGAAAAAAAAGAAGCAGGUUAAUACCCCGCUGUUCUGACGGUGCCCAAAGAAUAAGCACCGGCUAACUUCGUG
rnacentral:rRNA from 1 species